ensembl:miRNA
UAAAGUGCUUACAGUGCAGGUAGUGAUGAUAACCUGGCCUACUGCAGUGUGAGCACUUCUUUC